UGCGCAGGGCGUGUUUCAACACGAUGUCGCUGAACUUCACCCCCUUCAGGCGCGCGGUCCGGAUAUAUUGCGCCGUCAUCACCUCCGUCAUGGAGGCGCGCGUCAUCCGCGCGAUAUAUCCCAUGCCGUAGAGCGAGAUGGUCAGCACCGGCAGGAAGAAGUUCCAGAAAUUCGCAUCC
rnacentral:ncRNA from 1 species